rnacentral:lncRNA from 1 species
CUCAGCUCGCCUGCACCCAGGUGAAAUAAACAGCUUUAUUGCUCACACAAAGCCUGUUUGGUGGUCUCUUCAGACGGACGUGCAUGAAAUUUGGUGCCGUGACUCGGAUCGGGGGACCUCCCUUGGGAGAUCAAUCCCCUGUCCUCCUGCUCUGUGCUCCGUGAGAAAGAUCCACCUACGACCUCAGGUCCUCAGACCGACCAGCCCAAUAAACAUCUCACCAAUUUCAAAUCCGGUAAGCGGCCUCUUUUUACUCUCUUCUCCAACCUCCCUCACUAUCCCUCAACCUCUUUCUCCUUUCAAUCUUGGCACCACACUUCAAUCUCUCCCUUCUCUUAAUUUCAAUUCAUUUCAUUUUCUGGUAGAGACAAAAGAGACAUGUUUUAUCCAUGAACCCAAAACUCCAGCGCCAGUCCCGGACUGGGAAGGCAGGCUUCCCUUGGUGUUUAAUCAUUGCAGGGACACCUCUCUGAUUACACACUCACGUUUCAAGGGUGUCAGACCACGCAGGGACACCUGCCUUGGUCCUUCACCCUUAGCGGCAAGUCCUGCUUUCCUAGGGGGCAAGAAGCCCCCAAUCGCUUAUUUCCGCACCCCAACCUCUUAUCUCUGUGCCCCAAUCCCUUAUUUCUGCACCCUGACCUCUUAUCUCUGUGCCCCAAUCCCUUAUUUCCGUGCCCCCACCCCUUCUCUGCUUUUCUGGAGGGCAAGAACCCCCCACCCCUUCUCUGUGUCUCUACUCUUUUCUCUGGGCUUGCCUCCUUCACUACGGGUAACCUUCCACCCUCCAUUCGUCCUUCUACUCCCUUGGCCUGUGUUCUCAAAAACUUAAAACCUCUUAAACUCACACCUGACCUAAAACCUAAAUGCCUUAUUUUCUUCUGCAAUGCCGCUUGACCCCAAUACAAACUCGACAGUAGUUCCAAAUAGCCAGAAAAUGGCACUUUGAAUUUUUCCAUCCUGCAAGAUCUAAAUAAUUCUUGUCGUAAAAUAGGCAAAUGGUCUGAGGUGCCUGAUGUCCAGGCAUUCUUUUACACAUCGGUCCCUUCCUAGUCUCUGUGCCCAGUGCAACUCGUCCAAAAUCUUCCUUCUUUCCCUCCCGCCUGUCCCCUCAGUACCAACCCCAAGCGUCACUGAGUCUUUCUAAUCUUCCUUUUCUACAGACCCAUCUGACCUCUCCCUUCCUCCCCAGGCUGCUCCUCGCCAGGCCGAGCUAGGUCCCAAUUCUUCCUCAGCCUCCGCUCCUCCACCCUAUAAUCUUUUUAUCGCCUCCCCUCCUCACAGCUGGUCCGGCUUACAGUUUCGUUCCGUGACUAGCCUUCCCCCUCCUGCCCAGCAAUUUACUCUUAAACAGGUGGCUGGGGCUAAAAGCAUAGUCAAGGUUAAUGCUCCUUUUUCUUUAUCCCAAAUCGGAUAGCGUUUAGGCUCUUUUUCAUCAAAUAUAAAAAUCCAGCCCAGUUCAUGGCUCAUUUGGCAGCAACCCUGAGACUCUUUACAGCCCUAGACCCUAAAAACUCAAAAGGCCGUCUUAUUCUCAAUAUACAUUUUAUUACCCAAUCUGCUCCCGACAUUAAAUAAAACUCCAAAAAUUAAAUUCCGGCCCUCAAACCCCACAACAGGAUUUAAUUCACCUCGCCUUCAAGGUGUACAAUAAUAGAAAAAAGUUGCAAUUCCUUGCCUCCACUGUGAGACAAACCCCAGCCACAUCUCCAGCACACAAGAACUUCCAAACGACUGAACCGCAGCAGCCAGGCGUUCCUCCAGAACCUCCUCCCACAGGAGCUUGCUACACGUGCCGGAAAUCUGGCCACUGGGCCAAGGAAUGCCCGCAGCCUGGGAUUCCUCCUAAGCCACGUCCCAUCUGUGUGGGACCCCACUGAAAAUCUGACUGUUCAACUCACCUGGCAGCCACUCCCAGAGCCCCUGGAACUCUGGCCCAAGGCUCUCUGACUGACUCCUUCCCAGAUCUUGGCUUAGCAGCUGAAGACUGACACUGCCCGAUCGCCUCGGAAGCCCCCGAGACCAUCACGGACGCCGAGCUGCCAGUAACUCUCACAGUGGAAGCCUCAGAAUACGAAGUGCCCUGCCUUCCAUCCCAGCCCACCCAGACAAGCAACUGAACAAAGUGGAAUAUGGGCUAGUGUUGAGAAGCCAUUCUCAAACCUCCACCAGGGGCUUGCUACAUGACUGGGGACUCCAUGCAAGAAAAUGUGGGGCUCCUCAUUCACAAAAUAGAAAAAGGUAUAAUUAAAGGUAUUAAAAUGUAAAGCAUUUUCUUUUAAAACUAUUUUAUUACUGAUAAAACUUGAGGGUGAUUAGUCAAUAUACUACAGAGAAACAGAACCAAUAGGUUAAUAGGUAGAUGAUAGAUAGAUAAUAAAUAGGUAGACAGAUAGAUAGAAGAUAGAUGGUGAUAUAGUUUUGCUGUGUCCCCACCAAAAUCUCAUCUUGAAUUGUAGUUCCCAGAAUCCCCAUGUAUCAUAAGAGGGACCCAGUGGGAGGUAAUUGAAUCAUGGGGUGGUUAACCCCAUGCUGUUCUCAUGAUAGUGAGUGAGUUCUCACGAGAUCUGAUGGUUUUAUAAGGGACUUUUCUCCGUUUGCUUUGGCACUUCUCAUUCCUACCGCCACAUGAAGAAAGAUGUGUUUGCUUUCUCUUCUGCCGUGAUUAUAAGUUACCUGAGGUAUCCCCAGCCCUGUGAGUCAAUUUAACCUCUUUCCUUUAUAAAUUACCCAGUGUCGGGCAGCUCUUUAUAGCAGCGUGAGAACGAAGUAAUACAGGUAAAUAGUAAGAGGAAGAGGAGAGAUACACAAUAAGGAAUUGGUUCACACAAUUACAGAGGCUAGGAAGUUGCAAGAUCUGCAGUCAGCAGUUACAGACCCAGGAGAGCUGACAAUGUAAGUUCCAGUCCAAGUUUGAAUUUGAGGUCAGAAGGAGACCAAUCUCCCAGUGCAAAGACAGGCAAAGAAAGCAAGUUCUGUCACUCCACCUUUUGUGUUCUAUUCAGGCCUUCAACAGGUUGGAUGAUGCUCACCUGCACCUGGGAGGGCCAUCUGCUAAUUCCAAUGCUGAUCUUAUCCAGAAACACCCUCACAGACACACCUAGAAAUAAUGUUUAACCAAAUAUCUUGGCACCUUACAGCAUAGUUGGGUUGUAACAAAAAAUUAACCUUCACAAGGGGUAAUAGUUUUACCUGAGUAA